rnacentral:lncRNA from 1 species
GUUGUACUAGUGCGUCACCGAGAAGGACGGGCCCAUUACGGCAUAGGCGCCGAUCUGAGAAUUUGCAUGCGAGAGUUCAACAAUUUGUGUAGUGCUUUUGCCGAGGAUGCGACCUACGGAGACAUUUACACGCGUUGAGAAUAAAAUGGGGAUUAGUAUUUUCCUCAGAUCGCUAAUUCUCCUCCUCAUAUUGAUUUUUGAUUACUCGAUAACAUUGAGUGCUAACGAUGAAAAUAUAGAGAAAAUGACAACCAUAAUGAUCGAGGAUCAAUGCAAGUACAAGCAUCUCUCCGGCAGGGCCGGUGAGAAAAGAAUGCUAACCCUUGCCGAAGAUGAUUGCAAAGACGCUUUCAAGGCAUUUAGACGGCUCUCGCAAGAAGUUAAGUCUCAUGUUUGUCCUAAAGCUCGGGACCCCGAAUGUCGUCAUAAUCCUGGAAAAAGUAAAAUCUCUUGGAGCUGCGCUUUCAUAUGUGACCUGACCUCGAAGGAAACACAAUAUCACUACACGCAAGGACGCACGAACCCGCCGCAAUCACAUUCAAAACCAUUGAAAGAUAUUUUGUCCCAAAUACGAACCUAUCGAGGUGAACUGGAGAAGAUAGAGCGCCAAAACAAAGCAUUUCCAGAGAUUUGGGACAUAUAAGGUCCUGGGUUUGACUUUAAUGGAGAUGUUGCAUGUGUGAGGGAUUUGCAAUUUACCUGUUAAUUCUUAUGUAAAAGUUCGCGAGAAACACGAUGGUGCCACUGGUUUUCUCUGAAAUCAUCUCCCAAGCUAAAAAAAACAUCUCAAAGUGAGGGCAAAAUGGAGGGGAUAUCCCGCCCUACCCUGAGAGUCCCACGCUACAUCAAAACAAACGCUCCAUGCAAAGAUAGGGAGCAAAUACAUUAGCAGGGUUGCCGUGUUUCCAGUUUUGGAGUCCCCAAAUGAAUUGGCAGCCCUGUCAAUGUAUUUG